rnacentral:tRNA from 1 species
GUGACCUUGGUGUAGCGGCAGCACCCCGCGUUGUGAGCGCGGCGGCACCGGUUCGAAUCCGGUAGGUCACCCCA